GCAAGAAGGAGGCGGCGGCGGCCGGAGCAGGAGGGGGAGGAGGGGAGGAACCUGAUCUCUCCGGUAGCGAAGGGCUGGAGGCAAACACCGAGUUCCCCCUGAGCCGCCCGGGAGCAGGGAGGGCUCCGCUACCCCGGGGGGCCCUCCCCGCGGGGCAGAUGAGCUCAGUGUCCAGACUUUCUGAGCUGUGUUAUGGGUCACUCAAGCAGUCCACCUUUCUGACUUUCCAUAAUCUACUGGAUUCGUAAUCCACACCAUACUUGAGAACAUGGGGAUCGGCAUAAGGUAUGUCCAAUGUGCUGAGGUACAGAGGUGAAUCAGAGGAUGCACUGUUAGUGGGGGAGAUGGACAGGUAAGCAAAUUCUUAUGAUACCAUGUGACAAGUACUUAGCAUGUGUGGGGGUGUGUGUGUGUUUUAAGUAUCACAGGGAUGCGGUGCAGAAAGGAACUAAUUCUCCUUGACUGAAGGAGUUGUCCAAUACUUUAUGUUUUCAAAAUGACUGUCACAUAUGUUGCAUGAGUUUAUAUGAUCUUCAUAAAAACCGUAUGAAGUUGUGAUCCCUUUUGAACAUAAGUUGAAGUAGAGCAUCUUAGACGUUAGGUGAGUUCCCCAAUGUUAUGCAGCUAGUAAUAAUAAUUGCUGAUAUUUAUUGAGUGGUUAGGUUACCUGAGGCUCUGUUCCAAGCCCUAUAAAGAUGAUGCAUCUUCACAACAACUCUAUGAGGUCAUUAUUGAUAUUAUCACCAUUUUACAAAUGAGAAAAUGGAAGUCAAGAUUUAAAUAAUUUGCCUAGAGUCACAUAACUAGAAAGCGGAAAAACAAGAACUUGCACCUACCCAUUCCAGCUUUAGCAGGCAUACAUUUACCUACCGCACUAAAUUACCUUUAA